rnacentral:lncRNA from 1 species
GAGUGCUGUUAUUUUUAACCUGAACAUGUUGUGGCGUUUUUUUAUUUACCAGAAGCGGACCGGAGAAGAAGCGAGGCCACUUUGCUUCCAGCAUAAGUACACUGUCUGUCUGCCCGGCUCUGCCUCUCUGCUCUGUCCCGCUGUGCUCCGGGGGAGAGCACUCACCACAUGUUCUUUUGGAGAUGAGUCAUCGGAGGUGGUGUCACUGCUGAAGAAUCACCGAGCAGGAGUCAGGAGAGAGCGACUAAAGAUAGACCAUUAGGAACAUCUUCGCUAACAAGAUAACGACUGAUUUCUCUGACAUUCUGAAGGAAUCAGAGACGCCUGGCAGAGAAAAAGUACGACGGAGGAACAAUGCAGAGAAGUUGAUGCUGUGAUUAACAUAACAGAGAGAUACACGGAUCACUUCACAAAGGCUGCUCUGUAUGGAAUGAGUUCAUAUCAUAUAUCUGACAUGUUUGUUUCUUGACGAUAUUCUAUAUAUAUCCUUCAUUAGGGAUUAUUAUUAUCCUUUAUUUACUGUCGUGAGAAGACUUUUGUUGUGAACUGGCGCUGUACAAAUAAAGAUUGAUUGAUUGAUAUUUAACCAGGUAAAGGCUCAGUCAGUGUGUUUACAUGACACUCGAGAAAACCGAAUUAAUGGACACUGGGUUAAAUCUUUAAGAUGCAUGUAUACACUUUAGUCUGACUAAAAUCGGACCAGAUCGGAUUUCUCAUAGUCGGAUUUAAACACCUCGAUUAUUCCAUUAAUAGUCGCAUUACUCCUGCAUGUAUACGUUCCAGGGGCGGUUCUAGGGGGGGGCCAACAGGGGCCAGUGCCCCCGUAACUCUGAGUCUGGACCCCCCUGUGGCCCCCCUGACAGGGAGUCUGCAUCAAUAAUACAAUGACAGAUUUCUUGCAAUGAUUUUGUUUUGAAGGGAAAGGCUGAAAUAAAGUGUCUCAGCAGUUUACUACCCAAUCAAAAUUGCUGAAAUUGUAAACACUGUUUUGUCUGAAUGAGGGAUUUAUCUUUUUUUCCCGGGUUGUAUGUGCCCCCUAACAAAAAAGCCGGCCCCGACCUGGCCCCCCUAUUAAAACUGGUCCAGAACCGCC